GCUGGUGCUGGAAUCAAAAAUAGGUUAUAGGAAAAUAUCAUGGUAGGUUAGAGAUCUUACAGUAACAAGAAAUUCUCCUUGGCAUAGAAUUAUACAAUUUAGUGCAAGUUUGCAUAAAAUGUUUAAAAUCAAUGAAAAUGCAAGGAAGGAUUUAUAGAUUUAAGUUCAUUAUUGCAGGUAGCAGCAAUUGGUCAAAAUGUGUGUAUUAAAAUAUUAAAAGUGAAACGAUGAUAUUUUCGGGUGUGAUGAUAAUCUAAAGUUUUCAGGUCUGCUAUUUGUUCUAGGUUUUUUUUCCUAUUAGUAGUUUGUCUCUUAAGCCUUAAGUCUUUUUUGUACCCCUAUGAUCCCAGUGAUGUUUAACUUGAUUGCUUAAAAGUUUGUGCCUGUUUUUAACAGGCCUCUGUUAGACGGCUAACGAUGAAGACACAUUUCACCUUCCAGCACAAUAACGACCCAAAGUACAAAUCCCAAAUCCAACAAAAUCAACAAAGGAGGAAUGACUCAGUCAGAGCCCAGAUCUAAAUUCUAUUUAAAACACGUGGAAUGACAUGAAGAGGGCUGUAAACAGGAGAUCCCCUCACAAUUACAUAGAUGUGGAGCAUUUUUUCAAGAAAGAGUAGAAGAAAAUUGCCAAAUCAAAAUGGGCUAAGAUGUAGACUCUUGCCCCAAAAGACUGAGUGCUGUGUAUUAUAAGCAAAAGGUGGAAAAAGAUCUGACAUGAUUUAUCUUGAUUUAAUUCUUACUUCACAAAAACCCGACAUUUUAACAGGGAAGUGGUGUCGGUGUGCUCCUCGUGCUCGCGGCUCGUUUCCUCUCCGAAAUGUGCCGACUUGAGGAGCUGAUCACACGGACACGGCCAGUGAGGGCAGCACGCAGACGCCAUCCUGCCCCCAUGCACCCUGCUC